UACGGGGGGGGCAAGCGUUGUUCGGAAUUACUGGGCGUAAAGGGCUCGUAGGCGGCCAACUAAGUCGGAUGUGAAAUCCCCAGGCUUAACCUGGGAACUGCAUCCGAUACUGGUUGGCUUGAGUUUGGGAGAGGGAUGCGGAAUUCCAGGUGUAGCGGUGAAAUGCGUAGAUAUCUGGAGGAACACCGGUGGCGAAGGCGGCAUCCUGGACCAAUACUGACGCUGAGGAGCGAAAGCCAGGGGAGCAAACGGG
rnacentral:rRNA from 1 species